rnacentral:RNase_MRP_RNA from 1 species
CAACGCCAUGAGAUGAAGUGAAUGGGCCCCCAUGCCAUGGGCUGGGCUCAGGAAAGUCCCCGGGCCAAUAAUCGCAGAGAUGCGGUCCGGGAAACCGGUAAAACCUGGGCUGAGGUCGUUUUAGCCCACCUGGGCUAUGGACUGAGACGCGUGCGGAGCCCAAUGGGCCCUGAGCUCAAGUGCCUUGGCCGUCAAGUUACAGUCAUUCGCUCGGGUUCCUCGAUGGAUCAUUCCACAACCGAACGGGGCUUACUCUCAUGGCGGU